GCAACCCUGAUCCAGCAAUGCCGCGUGUGGGAAGAAGGCCUUCGGGUUGUAAACCACUUUUGGCAGGGAAGAAAUGUCGAAUAUUAAUACCAUUCGGCGAUGACGGUACCUGCAGAAUAAGCACCGGCUAACUACGUGCCAGCAGCCGCGGUAAUACGUAGGGUGCAAGCGUUAAUCGGAAUUACUGGGCGUAAAGCGUGCGCAGGCGGUUGGAUAAGACAGGUGUGAAAUUCCCGGGCUCAACCUGGGAACUGCAUUUGUGACUGUUC
rnacentral:rRNA from 1 species